rnacentral:pre_miRNA from 1 species
ACCACCUAGGGAUUUUGUUAAACUGCAGAUUCUGAUUCAGCAGAUCUGGGAUGGGCCCAGAACUUCUGCAGUUCUAACAAGUGCUUAAGUGAUGCCCA